rnacentral:rRNA from 1 species
UACGGGGGGGGCAAGCGUUGUUCGGAAUUACUGGGCGUAAAGGGCUCGUAGGUGGCCAACUAAGUCAGACGUGAAAUCCCUCGGCUUAACCGGGGAACUGCGUCUGAUACUGGUUGGCUUGAGUUCGGGAGAGGGAUGCGGAAUUCCAGGUGUAGCGGUGAAAUGCGUAGAUAUCUGGAGGAACACCAGAGGCGAAGGCGGCCCACUGGGCUGCACCUGACGCUGAACCGCGAAAGCCAGGGGAGCGAACGGG